rnacentral:rRNA from 1 species
CUACGGGUUGCUGCAGUAGGGAAUCUUAGACAAUGGGGGAAACCCUGAUCUAGCCAUGCCGCGUGAGUGAUGAAGGCCUUAGGGUUGUAAAGCUCUUUCGCUGGGGAAGAUAAUGACGGUACCCAGUAAAGAAACCCCGGCUAACUCCGUGCCAGCAGCCGCGGUAAUACGGAGGGGGUUAGCGUUGUUCGGAAUUACUGGGCGUAAAGCGCGCGUAGGCGGGCUAUUAAGUCAGGGGUGAAAUCCCGGGGCUCAACCCCGGAACUGCCUUUGAUACUGGUAGUCUUGAGUUCGAGAGAGGUGAGUGGAAUUCCGAGUGUAGAGGUGAAAUUCGUAGAUAUUCGGAGGAACAUCAGUGGCGAAGGCGACUCACUGGCUCGAUACUGACGCUGAGGUGCGAAAGUGUGGGGAGCAAACAGGAUUAGAUACCCGAGUAGUC